GUGGUAUGCUCAAGUAAACAGAUUCAGAGCAUGAAAGCACACGUCAUCCUCAGCAACUGUCAUUUCAGUGUCUGUUCCUUUGGAACAGGAACUAUUGAUGUUCCCAGGACCAGCAACUGACAAGUCCAAUGUUUAUGAUUUCAAAACUAUAUAUGACCAGAAUGUACAAUGAUCUCCUCAGGAAAGACAAAGAACUCUAUACACAAAAUGGAAUUUUACAUAUGUUGGAUAGAAAUAAAAGAAUCAAGCCCCACCCAGAAAGGUUCCAGAACUUCACAGACCUGUUUGACCUGAUCUUCACAUGUGAAGAGAAUCUCUGACGAGGUUGUAGCAGAUUUGAGCUCCAGAGAUCAGGAGUCCUGCUAGCCAGUGCAUGUGAUCAAUGUGGACAUCCAGGACAAGCAUGAGAGGCCACUCUAGGAGCAUUCCUUUCUGUGAGCUCUGCCAGUGUAUCCAGCACACCAAGGAUAUAGAUAAUGAAAUCGACGAGAGCAGGAGUUCGAGAAGAGUGGCUGGGCCUUUCUGCAUACUGUUUGCUUCU
rnacentral:lncRNA from 1 species